rnacentral:rRNA from 1 species
UGGUGGCGAUGGCGGAGGGGUUCCACGCGUACCCAUCCCGAACACGACCGUUAAGCCCUCCAGCGCCGAUGGUACUUGGACCGCAGGGU